CUCCUCCUCCUCCUCUUCCUCCUCAGAUCUCCCCACCCCCUCUCUCUUCUCCUCUCCCCCCCACCCCCUUUCCUUUCUUUUGCUGCCACCAACUGUGUGUCUGUGUCUCUGUCUCUGCCAAGCCUCCACAUCCCCUGUUCCCUUUUUUUUUUCUGUUCCCCCUUUACUCCUCUCUUCCUCUCCCAAAUCUGAGAAGCGAAAGGUAACCUAAACAGGUGACUCGUGGAUCGGAAUCCCAAAUUUAGACUGCUGGUACAAUUAGCACCCCCUUUCGCGUCGGACUCGUCUGCAAUAUGAGCUGCGGCCACCACACCCGCCGCUUCCUCGUCCUCUUCAUCUUGUUCGUCGUCGUUGCGGUGGCGGCGAGCGGGGACGGGAGCGCGUACGAGGUGCUGCGGUCGCACGGGCUGCCCAUCGGGUUGCUGCCCAAGGGGGUGCGGGAGUUUUACGUGGACGGGGAGGGGCGGUUCGAGGCGCGGCUGGACGCGCCGUGCACGGCCAAGUUCGAGAGCGAGGUGCGCUACAACGCCAGCGUGGCGGGCACCAUCUCGCCCGGCCAGAUCGACGGCCUCUCCGGCAUCGCUGCCCAGGACCUCUUCCUCUGGUUCCCCGUCCGCGCCAUCCGCCUCGACGACCAGGCCUCCGGCAUCAUCCACUUCGACGUUGGCGUCGUCGACAAGCGCUUCCCCCUCUCCCUCUUCGAGUACCCGCCCGACUGCACCCCCGUCGCGUCGUCCUCUCGCCCUCUCCGCGAGGGCUCUCGCCUAGCUUCCCUCGUCGCCGAGAGCCAAUCCGGCGAGCUCCGCUACCAACUCGAUGCUCGAGACGCCGCCAUCUGAAACGAGCUCCGCCGUCCUUGUUAUUAAAGGUCCUAUAUAGCUUGGCUUUGGCUUGCUUUGCUUAUGUGUGUGCUUCUUGUGUGUCCCGUCAUGCUCUACUUUCAUUCAAGCUGAAAGACCGCUUUUUUUGAUUGAAUGAUGAUGGAGUCACCACCCCAGAAUGUGCAAGCAAUUCGGUGUAGAUCGGAUGAGAGAGCAUCCGAAGUUGGUAAAAGGAUCGAGGGCGAUUCUUUUUCCAACUACUGAAUCAUAAUCCUAAUGUUCAUAUCAUCAAUUACUAGUGAUCAUAUCAUCCGUUUGCCGGUAGAAGGCCACAUGUAUGCAGUGGAGAGUCUGGGACUUGAUCCACUGCAAAUGUCUUUCUUUGUUGUAUUUGUGAGCGAGUAAUGCAUCGAGUCUUUCUGUAUAUGCGGGAACCAUUUGUCUGUAUGUAAUCUCUAGGCAAUUUGUUGGAUCUGAGUGAUACAUACAUACAUACAUAUAUAUAUAUAUAUAUUAUAUAAUCUUGAUUGCAAAGAUGGACAACUCUAUUUAGUUUUCUUUCCUUAAAUCAGAUGUAUUUUCAGACUUAGUGUCAACCUGAUGGAAAUGUUCAUGGUGUGAAUCGAGGAUGAUGAAUGAUAGUUAUGCUUGUUCCGAGUCUAAAAUGGUAUCCUAGAGAUGGAGGUCCUGUGGAUUUGCUCGUCGACAUGAAGUUUUCUAAGAUUUAAAGCAAUCUUAGACAAUUAUGAACAGGCAAUAUUGUUGAGGCAACAAAAAAUUACAGACUUGUUAGGUUUCGGGGAUAAGGAGAGAUGAACAAGUUGUCUGUGUAGCAGGGAAAGCAGAAAUAGUCAUACUUUCUGGUGGAUGGAUGGAGCUUUGUUUGAAUGGUCUUGUCUAAUUGUUGGCAUGUGAAUCUUGGGGUCUAAGUGCUUAUGGCAUGUAGCUUUUUUGAUGGUAUAUUUCAGGAGGUCUGCAAAAGAAUCUGAAGAGCAACCCAAGCAGUACGAACAAAAGCAUUCAGAGAUUUGCUGGCAGAUAUCAAGUUCUCCAAGAAUUAGGAUCAUGUUUGGCAAUGCUGAACUGACAGGAUUUGUUGAGGUUCAUAACCAGAUUUGCAGCUAAUAUUAUUCUCAGGACCGCGCCGUGAAUGCUUAUAUGGACAACAAAAGGACAUACUUUCUUCUGAGCUUUCAGGAAUAAUGUGAGGUGACAAAAAUAUUUAUGUAUCAGGACAAGCAGAAUUGCCAUACUUUAUGGUGAAUUGGACAGAGGUAGGUCAAUCUUGGAACCCAA